GACGAACGCUGGCGGCGUGCCUAACACAUGCAAGUCGAGCGAGUGGAGUUCUUCGGAACAAAGCUAGCGGCGGACGGGUGAGUAACACGUGGGCAACCUGCCUCAUAGAGGGGAAUAGCCUCCCGAAAGGGAGAUUAAUACCGCAUAAGAUUGUAGUUUCGCAUGAAGUAGCAAUUAAAGGAGCGAUCCGCUAUGAGAUGGGCCCGCGGCGCAUUAGCUAGUUGGUGAGGUAACGGCUCACCAAGGCGACGAUGCGUAGCCGACCUGAGAGGGUGAUCGGCCACAUUGGGACUGAGACACGGCCCAGACUCCUACGGGAGGCAGCAGUGGGGAAUAUUGCACAAUGGGGAAACCCUGAUGCAGCAAUGCCGCGUGAGUGAUGACGGCCUUCGGGUUGUAAAGCUCUGUCUUCAGGGACGAUAAUGACGGUACCUGAGGAGGAAGCCACGGCUAACUACGUGCCAGCCGCCGCAGUAAAAC
rnacentral:rRNA from 1 species